rnacentral:rRNA from 1 species
CUGGGCGUAAAGCGUGCGCAGGCGGUUUUGUAAGACAGUGGUGAAAUCCCCGGGCUCAACCUGGGAACUGCCAUUGUGAUGCAAGGCUAGAGUGCGGCAGAGGGGGAUGGAAUCCGCGUGUAGCAGUGAAAUGCGUAGAUAUGCGGAGGAACACCGAUGGCGAAGGCAAUCCCCUGGGCCUGCACUGACGCUCAUGCACGAAAGCGUGGGGAGCAAACAGGAU